rnacentral:rRNA from 1 species
GUAGGUGGGGUAACGGCUCACCUAGGCGACGAUCCCUAGCUGGUCUGAGAGGAUGACCAGCCACACUGGAACUGAGACACGGUCCAGACUCCUACGGGAGGCAGCAGUGGGGAAUAUUGCACAAUGGGCGCAAGCCUGAUGCAGCCAUGCCGCGUGUGUGAAGAAGGCCUUCGGGUUGUAAAGCACUUUCAGCGGGGAGGAAGGCGGUAAGGUUAAUAACCUUGUCGAUUGACGUUACCCGCAGAAGAAGCACCGGCUAACUCCGUGCCAGCAGCCGCGGUAAUACGGAGGGUGCAAGCGUUAAUCGGAAUUACUGGGCGUAAAGCGCACGCAGGCGGUCUGUCAAGUCGGAUGUGAAAUCCCCGGGCUCAACCUGGGAACUGCAUUCGAAACUGGCAGGCUAGAGUCUUGUAGAGGGGGGUAGAAUUCCAGGUGUAGCGGUGAAAUGCGUAGAGAUCUGGAGGAAUACCGGUGGCGAAGGCGGCCCCCUGGACAAAGACUGACGCUCAGGUGCGAAAGCGUGGGGAGCAAACAGGAUUAGAUACCCUGGUAGUCCACGCCGUAAACGAUGUCGAUUUGGAGGUUGUGCCCUUGAGGCGUGGCUUCCGGAGCUAACGCGUUAAAUCGACCGCCUGGGGAGUACGGCCGCAAGGUUAAAACUCAAAUGAAUUGACGGGGGCCCGCACAAGCGGUGGAGCAUGUGGUUUAAUUCGAUGCAACGCGAAGAACCUUACCUGGUCUUGACAUCCACAGAACUUUCCAGAGAUGGAUUGGUGCCUUCGGGAACUGUGAGACAGGUGCUGCAUGGCUGUCGUCAGCUCGUGUUGUGAAAUGUUGGGUUAAGUCCCGCAACGAGCGCAACCCUUAUCCUUUGUUGCCAGCGGUCCGGCCGGGAACUCAAAGGAGACUGCCAGUGAUAAACUGGAGGAAGGUGGGGAUGACGUCAAGUCAUCAUGGCCCUUACGACCAGGGCUACACACGUGCUACAAUGGCAUAUACAAAGAGAAGCGACCUCGCGAGAGCAAGCGGACCUCAUAAAGUAUGUCGUAGUCCGGAUUGGAGUCUGCAACUCGACUCCAUGAAGUCGGAAUCGCUAGUAAUCGUAGAUCAGAAUGCUACGGUGAAUACGUUCCCGGGCCUUGUACACACCGCCCGUCACACCAUGGGAGUGGGUUGCAAAAGAAGUAGGUAGCUUAACCUUCGGGAGGGCGCUUACCACUUUGUGAUUCAUGACUGGGGUGAAGUCGUAACAAGGUAACCGUAGGGGAACCUGCGGUUGGAUCACCU